GCGCCCUUGGUGCAGGCGGCGCCGGCGCUGCAGGUGGUGCCGGGGGUGUCCUCGGUCGCGUCGAUGAGGGUGUA
rnacentral:tRNA from 1 species